CUAGCAUAUCAAUAAGCGGAGGAAAAGAAACCAACAGGGAUUGCCCUAGUAACGGCGAGUGAAGCGGCAACAGCUCAAAUUUGAAAUCUGGCCUACUUUGGUGGUCCGAGUUGUAAUUUGUAGAGGGCGCUUUGGCGUCGGCAGCGGUCUAAGUUCCUUGGAACAGGACGUCACAGAGGGUGAGAAUCCCGUACGUGGUCGCCUGCCUUCGCCGUGUAAAGCCCCUUCGACGAGUCGAGUUGUUUGGGAAUGCAGCUCUAAAUGGGAGGUAAAUUUCUUCUAAAGCUAAAUACUGGCCAGAGACCGAUAGCGCACAAGUAGAGUGAUCGAAAGAUGAAAAGCACUUUGGAAAGAGAGUCAAAAAGCACGUGAAAUUGUUGAAAGGGAAGCGCUUGCCGCCAGACGUGCCCGUGGUGGUUCUCCUCCGCGGGCAGGCCAGCAUCAGUUUGGGCGAUCGGAUAAAGGCCUCUGUCAUGUAUCUCCCUUCGGGGAGACCUUAUAGGGGAGGCGUAAUGCGAUCAGCCCGGACUGAGGUCCGCGCAUCUGCUAGGAUGCUGGCGUAAUGGCUGUAAGCGGCCCGUCUUGAAACACGGACCAAGGAGUCUAACAUCUAUGCGAGUGUUUGGGUGUCAAGCCCGAGCGCGUAAUGAAAGUGAACGGAGGUGGGAACCCUCUCUGGGGGUGCACCAUCGACCGAUCCUGAUGUCUUCGGAUGGAUUUGAGUAAGAGCAUGGCUGUUGGGACCCGAAAGAUGGUGAACUAUGCUUGAAUAGGGUGAAGCCAGAGGAAACUCUGGUGGAGGCUCGCAGCGGUUCUGACGUGCAAAUCGAUCGUCAAAUUUGGGCAUAGGGGCGAAAGACUAAUCGAACUAUCUAGUAGCUGGUUCCUGCCGAUUUCCCCC
rnacentral:rRNA from 1 species